rnacentral:rRNA from 1 species
CCUACGGGUGGCCGCAGUGAGGAAUAUUGGUCAAUGGCCGGAAGGCUGAACCAGCCAAGCCGCGUGAGGGAGGAAGGCGCAGAGCGUCGCAGACCUCUUUUGCCGGGGGACAAACGGCCGGACGGGUCCGGUUCUGAGGGUACCCGGAGAAAAAGCAUCGGCUAACUCCGUGCCAGCAGCCGCGGUAAUACGGAGGAUGCGAGCUUUAUCCGGCUCCAUUGGGUUUAAAGGGUGCGCAGGAGGGCCUUUAAGCCGGUGGUGAAAUCGCGGGGCUAAACCCCGCCGGGCCGUCGGAGCUGGGGGCCUUGAGUGCGGCGGAGGCAUGCGGAAGGCGGGGGGUAGCGGUGAAAUGCAUAGAUAUCGCGCAGAACGCCGAUUGCGAAGGUAGCGUGCCGUGCCGCCACUGACGCUGAGGCACGAAAGCGCGGGGAUCGAACAGGAUUAGAAGUC